rnacentral:snoRNA from 1 species
GAGCACAUGAUGUCAUCAUGUCUGACUGAAUGAAUUUUGAUGCAUUCAAAGGAACCACUGAUGCUC